GGUUAACAAAUCAAAAUCCCAAAUAAUUCCUCAACUACAGACCCACAUCCCAGAGGAAUUGAAAUGGAGGAGACGUUGAUGCACAGCAGGAGCAAAGAGGAGAGUGAGAAGGAGGAAGUUCAAACUAUCGCUCAUAAAGACACGUCAAGAUCAGCAGCAGCUGUCUCUCAGCUCCCCCCCCAGCACAAAGCCAAGUACCAUAUGAGGAAGGAGGUAUACUUCUCUGUUAAGUCCAAAGUCGCCGGGAAAUGGCGUGAAUUCGCAGGGGAAAUGAUGCCAGAGGUCAGGAUAUCCGACAGACGAAGGAGAAUGUUGAAGCAGAGUCUAUAGCCCCGCUGUUCAGUUCAUCUGAUGGGAAAAGACCGCCAAAGAAAAGGUUGUGGCUGCUGUUGCUAAACGGAUCAAGGCUCCGCAGCUCUGCAUGGAGCAUCAUUAGCAGCCCCUGAUCCCAGGACCUCACAGGCCUGCCAGGGUCUUAUGUGCACAGAAGUGGUAUAAUGUAGCCUGCUCCCUGUCCGUGGGCAGCGCUUCAAUUCAACUCACCCCACAGCCGCCUCUCCCUCACACUCCUCCAGAAAACAUCCCAAGCCUUGUUGGUGGAGUCCUUCACAUGCUCGCUGAGGGAUCUCCUCAGUCUGGUUUUAACAACCGAGGGAAGCGUCGGCUUCGUCUCGACACAUUAAGAGGCUGCGCUGGACGUCAGGCUUAAAACAAACCAAAGGAGGAAGACAAGCAGGCAGAGGGGCUGACACUUGAUGCAAAAAGCCUGCAUGUAAUUUGUGAAGCAGAACUUUU